ACUGGGAUGCUUAGUACGGCGAGUGAGCGGCAAAAGCUCAAAUUUGAAAUCUGGUACCUUCGGUGCCCGAGUUGUAAUUUGGAGAGGGCAACUUUGGGGCCGUUCCUUGUCUAUGUUCCUUGGAACAGGACGUCAUAGAGGGUGAGAAUCCCGUGUGGCGAGGAGUGCGGUUCUUUGUAAAGUGCCUUCGAAGAGUCGAGUUGUUUGGGAAUGCAGCUCUAAGUGGGUGGUAAAUUCCAUCUAAAGCUAAAUAUUGGCGAGAGACCGAUAGCGAACAAGUACAGUGAUGGAAAGAUGAAAAGAACUUUGAAAAGAGAGUGAAAAAGUACGUGAAAUUGUUGAAAGGGAAGGGCAUUUGAUCAGACAUGGUGUUUUGUGCCCUCUGCUCCUUGUGGGUAGGGGAAUCUCGCAUUUCACUGGGCCAGCAUCAGUUUUGGUGGCAGGAUAAAUCCAUAGGAAUGUAGCUUGCCUCGGUAAGUAUUAUAGCCUGUGGGAAUACUGCCAGCUGGGACUGAGGACUGCGACGUAAGUCAAGGAUGCUGGCAUAAUGGUUAUAUGCCGCCCGUCUUGAA
rnacentral:rRNA from 1 species